rnacentral:rRNA from 1 species
AGAGUUUGAUCCUGGCUCAGGACGAACGCUGGCGGCGUGCUUAACACAUGCAAGUCGAACGAGAUCCAUUCAGUAGCAAUACUGAUGAAGAUCUAGUGGCGAACGGGUGCGUAACACGUGAGGAACUUGUCCCGGUCUCUGGGAUAACAGUUGGAAACGACUGCUAAUACCGGAUGACGUCGGAACUUCGCAUGGAGUACUGACGAAAGGGUUACUGGAUCGGGAGAGCCUCGCGGCCUAUCAGCUUGUUGGUGGGGUAAUGGCCUACCAAGGCAUCGACGGGUAGCUGGUCUGAGAGGAUGAUCAGCCACACUGGGACUGAGACACGGCCCAGACUCCUACGGGAGGCAGCAGUGGGGAAUCUUGCACAAUGGGCGAAAGCCUGAUGCAGCAACGCCGCGUGCGGGAAGAAGGCCCUCGGGUUGUAAACCGCUUUCAGAAGGAACGAAACUGACGGUACUUUCAGAAGAAGGUGCGGCCAACUACGUG